rnacentral:rRNA from 1 species
GACGAACGCUGGCGGCGUGCUUAACACAUGCAAGUCGAACGGGAUUUAGUAGACAGAAGCUUCGGUGGAAGAUUACUAAUGAGAGUGGCGAACGGGUGAGUAACGCGUGAGCAACCUGCCUAUGACAGUGGGAUAGCCUCGGGAAACCGGGAUUAAUACCGCAUAAAAUCGUAGAAACACAUGUUUUAACGGUCAAAGAUUUAUCGGUCAUAGAUGGGCUCGCGUCUGAUUAGCUAGUUGGUGAGAUAACAGCCCACUAAGGCGACGAUCAGUAGCCGGUCUGAGAGGAUGAACGGCCACAUUGGAACUGAGACACGGUCCAAACUCCUACGGGAGGCAGCAGUGGGGAAUAUUGCACAAUGGGGGAAACCCUGAUGCAGCGACGCCGCGUGAACGAAGAAGGUAUUCGUAUCGUAAAGUUCUGUCCUAUGGGAAGAUAAUGACAGUACCAUAAAAGAAAGCUCCGGCUAAAUACGUGCCAGCAGCCGCGGUAAUACGUAUGGAGCGAGCGUUGUCCGGAAUUAUUGGGCGUAAAGGGUACGCAGGCGGUUUAAUAAGUCGAAUGUUAAAGAUCGGGGCUCAACCCCGUAAAGCAUUGGAAACUGAUAAACUUGAGUAGUGGAGAGGAAAGUGGAAUUCCUAGUGUAGUGGUGAAAUACGUAGAUAUUAGGAGGAAUACCAGUAGCGAAGGCGACUUUCUGGACACAAACUGACGCUGAGGUACGAAAGCGUGGGGAGCAAACAGG